rnacentral:siRNA from 1 species
UAUCAUGUUUGCCUAUGUCUU